GGCACUUUGGCGGAGUGGUUAACGCGUUGCGUAAGUCUACAUAUCCCACGUUCAACUGCGUCGCUUCUGACAUUCGUCUAGCCUGCUAUCACAACCACGUUGUAGAGAGUUAGAUUAGGCAAUUCCUUCGGGAGCGUGUGUUCGAAUCACACAGGUGUCG
rnacentral:tRNA from 1 species